rnacentral:rRNA from 1 species
AUUGAACGCUGGCGGCAGGCCUAACACAUGCAAGUCGAGCGGAGCGGCGGACGGGUGAGUAAUGCCUAGGAAUCUGCCUGGUAGUGCGGGAUAACGUCCGGAAACGGGCGCUAAUACCGCAUACUAUCAGAUGAGUCUAGGUUGGAUUAGCUAGUGGGUGGGGUAAAGGCCUACCAGGUCGACGACCCGUAACUGGACUGAGCGGAUGAUCAGUCACACUGGAACGGAGACACGGGCCAGACUCCUACGGGAGGCAGCAGUGGGGAAUAUUGGACAAUGGGCGAACGCCUGAUGCAGACAUGCCGCGUGUGUGAAGAAGGUCUUCGGAUUGUAAAGCACUUUGAGUAGGGAGGCGGUACCAACAGAAUAAGCACCGGCUAACUCCGUGCCAGCAGCCGCGGUAAUUC